rnacentral:lncRNA from 10 species
CUGAGUACUGGGGUCCAGAAAGUGAUCGCUGCCGUGGUCGCCAUGGGGAAGUCGGAUUUUCUUACUCCCAAGGCUAUCGCCAACAGGAUCAAGUCCAAGGGGCUGCAGAAGCUACGCUGGUAUUGCCAGAUGUGCCAGAAGCAGUGCCGGGACGAGGUCUCAAUUGGUAGCCCAGGCUCGUGUACAGUGGCGCGAUCAUGGCUCACUGCAACCUUGACCUUCCCAGCUCAAGCAAUCCUCCUCCUGCCUCAGCCUCCCAAGUAGCUGGGACCACAGAAUGGCUUUAAGUGUCAUUGUAUGUCCGAAUCUCAUCAGAGACAACUAUUGCUGGCUUCAGAAAAUCCUCAGCAGUUUAUGGAUUAUUUUUCAGAGGAAUUCCGAAAUGACUUUCUAGAACUUCUCAGGAGACGCUUUGGCACUAAAAGGGUCCACAACAACAUUGUCUACAACGAAUACAUCAGCCACCGAGAGCACAUCCACAUGAAUGCCACUCAGUGGGAAACUCUGACUGAUUUUACUAAGUGGCUGGGCA